AGAGUUUGAUCCUGGCUCAGGACGAACGCUGGCGGCGCGCCUAACACAUGCAAGUCGAACGAGCGAGAGAGAGCUUGCUUUCUCGAGCGAGUGGCGAACGGGUGAGUAACGCGUGAGGAACCUGCCUCAAAGAGGGGGACAACAGUUGGAAACGACUGCUAAUACCGCAUAAGCCCACGACCCGGCAUCGGGUUGAGGGAAAAGGAGUGAUCCGCUUUGAGAUGGCCUCGCGUCCGAUUAGCUAGUUGGUGAGGUAACGGCCCACCAAGGCGACGAUCGGUAGCCGGACUGAGAGGUUUAACGGCCACAUUGGGACUGAGACACGGCCCAGACUCCUACGGGAGGCAGCAGUGGGGAAUAUUGCACAAUGGGGGAAACCCUGAUGCAGCGACGCCGCGUGGAGGAAGAAGGUCUUCGGAUUGUAAACUCCUGUUGUUGGGGAAGAUAAUGACGGUACCCAACAAGGAAGUGACGGCUAACUACGUGCCAGCAGCCGCGGUAAAACGUAGGUCACAAGCGUUGUCCGGAAUUACUGGGUGUAAAGGGAGCGCAGGCGGGAAGACAAGUUGGAAGUGAAAUCCAUGGGCUCAACCCAUGAACUGCUUUCAAAACUGUUUUUCUUGAGUAGUGCAGAGGUAGGCGGAAUUCCCGGUGUAGCGGUGGAAUGCGUAGAUAUCGGGAGGAACACCAGUGGCGAAGGCGGCCUACUGGGCACCAACUGACGCUGAGGCUCGAAAGUGUGGGUAGCAAACAGGAUUAGAUACCCUGGUAGUCCACACCGUAAACGAUGAUUACUAGGUGUUGGAGGAUUGACCCCUUCAGUGCCGCAGUUAACACAAUAAGUAAUCCACCUGGGGAGUACGACCGCAAGGUUGAAACUCAAAGGAAUUGACGGGGGCCCGCACAAGCAGUGGAGUAUGUGGUUUAAUUCGACGCAACGCGAAGAACCUUACCAAGUCUUGACAUCCGUUGACCGCUGUAGGAAUACAGUUUUCCUUCGGGACAGCGAGACAGGUGGUGCAUGGUUGUCGUCAGCUCGUGUCGUGAGAUGUUGGGUUAAGUCCCGCAACGAGCGCAACCCUUAUGGUCAGUUACUACGCAAGAGGACUCUGGCCAGACUGCCGUUGACAAAACGGAGGAAGGUGGGGAUGACGUCAAAUCAUCAUGCCCUUUAUGACUUGGGCUACACACGUACUACAAUGGCGUUAAACAA
rnacentral:rRNA from 1 species